CUUGGAGCAGGGCAGAGCCAUAUGCUGGGCUCUGGCCACAGGCUGAGAGAGGAAGUGACUCCAAGGCUGAGGAAUGAGCCCAGGAAGUUGACCUUUGAAGCACUCUCCUGCUCUUGGGGCCAUGUCAUCAGGAAGAAACUCCAGGCUGAAAACACAACUGCAAGGCCAACAGGCAGGGGAGCAGCUUUCUCAGGACACCUGAGGUCCUGCCCCACCAGGCUCUGGUCUUUACACACCAUCUCUCACUGUCCUCUAGCCCCAACUGCACAUUGCCUUCCUCCUUCCUGAGCUCAUGCUUGCCCCUCCCUCGGCAUCUCCCUAGCCCCAGCCUGAAGGCUGACCUCCUCCAGAAAGCCUCUCCCUCACCACGAGGCCAGAAAGAGUCUGUCCUGUCUCUAGCUUCUGAGUUUCUUAGUCCCAACGACUGUCCCUGCUCCACUGACACCUUCCAUACACAGCUUUGUGAGCUGUGCGCAUCUGUGGGUACCAGAGGGUCACUGGUGACACCCUGCUCAGCCACAGCACCAGAGAGGAGAGAAAACACCACAACAGUCUUCAUAGAACUAAAAGACUUCCUAGAGCGCGCUUGCCCUUUGUUUCUAUAGCUGCUGCUACGUGGAUAAGAGUCACUAGUUCAGCUCAUAUUCAGGACCAACAGAACACUUCCAAAGGUGGCUCACCUCAGAGACUGGGACUCCAGAGGUCAGCGUGCCUCUGUCUAGCUGUGCUUUCUAGUGAACACGUUACUUCACCUCCCCUGGGCUCAGUCUUGUCACUUUGGCAAUGAGGGCAUUUGGCGGCAUUCUCUGAAGCCACCCUACCCCCUUCAAUGGUCUGGAACCUUAGCAGCACAUUUGAAUCAUCUGAGGAGCUUUUUUAAAAUACCACGGCCUGGGCUCUGCCCCGAGAGGUUCUGAUCUAAUUGGUCUGGGAUAGAACCUCAGGUGGUUCUCAUGUGCGGGCAAGCUGGAGGACCCCUACACUAGUUGUUAUGAGGAUUUUAUUCAGCAAACAUCAAACCCCACAUGGAGUGGUCCAGGGGCCAGAACCUAGACAUUCAAGAGGGAGUUCCUGUGAGUUUAACUUCCUCUCCUGGAAUAAAAAUUUUAAGAACUCAAAAAGCACAAAAGUUGAUUUUUGGGGGGGGUCUCUUUUCAAAUUAUGACCCUAAAGUUAGGCCGCCAUCAGUCAUAUAUAGGUCAGAAGGGGGCCCAGUCCUGACUUGGAUGUUAGAUGAGUUUAUUGGCCACAGAGAGACUAAAUCUUAAAGGACCCCCUUGGCAGAAGGAAUCAGCAGCCAGCGUGGCCACUCGACUGCCUGACCCAGACCCCCAAGGUGAA
rnacentral:lncRNA from 1 species